AGGAUCAUUAUUGAAAUAAACCUGAUGAGUUGUUGCUGGUUCUCUAGGGAACAUGUGCACACUUGUCAUCUUUGUAUCUUCACCUGUGCAUCUUUUGUAGACCUUGGGUAUCUCUCUGAUUGCCUAGCACUCAGGAUUGAGGAMUGACUUUAUGUCUCUUCUUACAUUCCCAGGUCUAUGUUUAUUCAUAUACCCUAAUGUAUGUUUAUAGAAUGUAAUCAAUGGGACUUUGUGCCUAUAAAUCUAUACAACUUUCAGCAACGGAUCUCUUGGCUCUCGCAUCGAUGAAGAACGCAGCGAAAUGCGAUAAGUAAUGUGAAUUGCAGAAUUCAGUGAAUCAUCGAAUCUUUGAACGCACCUUGCGCUCCUUGGUAUUCCGAGGAGCAUGCCUGUUUGAGUGUCAUUAAUAUAUCAACCUCUUUGGUUGGAUGUGGGUUUGCUGGCCUCUGUGAGGUCAAGCUCCCCUUAAAUGCAUUAGCGGACAACAUUUUGCCAAACGUUUAUUGGUGUGAUAAUUAUCUACGCUAUUUUGACGUGAAGCAGAUUCAGCUUCUAACAGUCCAUUGACUUGGACAAAUUUCUAUUUAUUAAUGUGACCUCAAAUCAGGUAGGACUACCCGCUGAACUUAA
rnacentral:rRNA from 1 species